rnacentral:rRNA from 1 species
AGAGUUUGAUCAUGGCUCAGGAUGAAAGCUAGCGGCAGGCUUAACACAUGCAAGUAGAACGGUAACAGUCCUUCGGGAGCUGACGAGUUGCGAACGGGUGCGUAACGCGUAUGCAACCUACCCAUAACAGAGGGAUAGCCCAUAGAAAUGUGGAUUAAUACCUCAUAACAUCUUAAGAUGGCAUCAUCUAAAGAUUAAAACUCCGGUGGUUAUGGAUGGGCAUGCGUGACAUUAGCUAGUUGGUGAGGUAACUGCUCACCAAGGCAACGAUGUCUAGGGGUUCUGAGAGGAUGAUCCCCCACACUGGUACUGAGACACGGACCAGACUCCUACGGGAGGCAGCAGUGAGGAAUAUUGCGCAAUGGAGGAAACUCUGACGCAGCCAUGCCGCGUGCAGGAAGACUGCCCUAUGGGUUGUAAACUGCUUUUAUAUAGGAAGAACUACAGAUACGUGUAUUUGUUGAC